UACAGGGGGAUAACAGUUGGAAACAGGUGCUAAUACCGCAUAACAGUUUAUGCCGCAUGGCAUAAGAGUGAAAGGCGCUUUCGGGUGUCGCUGAUGGAUGGACCCGCGGUGCAUUAGCUAGUUGGUGAGGUAACGGCUCACCAAGGCCACGAUGCAUAGCCGACCUGAGAGGGUGAUCGGCCACACUGGGACUGAGACACGGCCCAG
rnacentral:rRNA from 1 species